rnacentral:rRNA from 1 species
CCAAACACUUGCGCCGGUGGUGGAGUAUAAGUGGCCCGCUUCAGCGCCAUCCAUUUUCAGGGCUAGUUCAUUCGGCAGGUGAGUUGUUACACACUCCUUAGCGGAUUCCGACUUCCAUGGCCACCGUCCUGCUGUCUAUAUGAACCAACACCU